CAGCAAAGCAUACAGCAGAGCAGUCUAAUCCCGCUCGACGCUCUCAGCGACAGAAGAGGAGACCUCAGUAUCUGCACGAUUAUCAGCUGUGAAGCCAUAAAUGUUAUUUUCACUGAGCUGUUAUUUUGGACUGAUUGCAUAUGGACAUAUUUGGAUAUAUAUGAUUGCAUAUGAUAAC